rnacentral:rRNA from 1 species
ACGGGAGGCAGCAGUGGGGAAUAUUGCACAAUGGGGGAAACCCUGAUGCAGCGACGCCGCGUGAGCGAAGAAGUAUUUCGGUAUGUAAAGCUCUAUCAGCAGGGAAGAAAAUGACGGUACCUGACUAAGAAGCUCCGGCUAAAUACGUGCCAGCAGCCGCGGUAAUACGUAUGGAGCAAGCGUUAUCCGGAUUUACUGGGUGUAAAGGGAGCGUAGGCGGCACGGCAAGCCAGAAGUGAAAUGCCGGGGCUCAACCCCGGAACUGCUUUUGGAACUGUCGAGCUAGAGUGCAGGAGAGGUAAGUGGAAUUCCUAGUGUAGCGGUGAAAUGCGUAGAUAUUAGGAGGAACACCAGUGGCGAAGGCGGCUUACUGGACUGUAAAUGACGCUGAGGCUCGAAAGCGUGGGGAGCAAACAGGAUUAGAUACCCUGGUA